UGGUGAACUGCUGGCUGAGCUACGUAACAUACCUCUUGUGUACAGUCUCCACUUCUUUCCUGGCUUUGCAGUUGAAAAGCAGAGUGGAGGACUUCCAUUCCCUCCAUCCUAUGUAUCUAUUAUCUUGUCAGAAUUAAGUGAUCAAAUGACAUUCAUCGAGAGGGUAAAAAAUAUGUUGUAUGUGCUUUAUUUUGACUUCUGGUUUCAAAUGUUUCAUGAGGACUGGGAUCAAUUUUAUAGUGAAAUACUAGGAAGACCCACACAUUAUCUGAGUUGAUGGGGAAAGCUGAAAUGUGGCUCAUUCGAACCUAUUGGGAUUUUGGAUUUCCUAGCCCACUCUUGCCACAUUUUGAAUUUGUUGGAGAACUCCACUGCAAGCCUGUCAAAACCUCUGCCUAAGGAAAUGGAACAGUUUGUCCAGAGCUCUGGAGAAGAUGGUAUUGUAGUGUUUAGCCUGGGGUCAAUGGUCACUAACUUGACUGAAGAAAAU